rnacentral:tRNA from 1 species
GAGGGCCUAGUCUAAUUUAAGACAGCUGAUUUCGGCUCAUCUAAUUAUGGUUUAAACCCAUAGUCCCUCU